rnacentral:lncRNA from 1 species
UUGCAACUUCUAAGAUUGUGAGUGAAACGAAAGUUGUAGCAUGCACCCAUAUCAUCGCCUUCAGUAUUGAAAAAACCAACUGAAUUUUAAGAAACCAUGCAUUUCUGAUCCAUGAUAGAUCACAAUGAACACUCAAAUCAAUCCUCAAAAAAAACGUCUUCAAAGUUCUAUCAUAAAAGCAAAGAAUGAAUCUUCGCAGAAAGAUUUAUUACAAAUUCAAAUAACCAGCAACUUGAAUUCUAUUACAGUUACUUUGCUCCCUGUGUCACAAAAAUUCAGCUUCACAUGUUCAUUGAAACAGCACGUUGAUACAUUUAAAAGAGAUAAUAUCAAACACUAAAGAACUGUCUUAAAUAAAUUAUCUAGUGUAGAAAUAUAUACUGUCUUGCGCAAACUCAAAGCUGAGGGGUUCCAGGGCUGCCUGCGUUCGAAGCCAUCAUAAAAACGCAGAUCGAGCUCAAUGUUGCCACGAAUCCAUGGAACCCUUAAUGCGGCGAAAAAGAAUUUCAGCGAUGUGCACAGCACCGCUCCUCAAGGCACUUCGAUUAUUUCUGAUUCCGGAGCAGAUUUUCGAACGACUGAUAGUCCUUCUGGCCGAUUUAACCGGCCGUUAUGCAUAGAGAGCGACGGAGCGCGACGCACAUCGAGGCUCCGCGUCACUGUGAUGGGAGCCUCGUCUGCGGAAGAACGGUGCCCUGCAGCUACUAACCACCUGAAGUGAUGCAUCGGAUCAUAUCGAGCUGAUCUUAACUGCGUGGGGUUAGCUCUUCAGGUGCGAUGUUGGAGAGAGUGUUCCGACUAAACAGCUCUAGUGUUGGUCCCAGCGAUGGUCGGGGGUAAGUGUCCUCCAGUGCUGACCGGAGUAUCGACAAUUUUCUUAAUUUGGUGAGUUUUGCGAUGCGAUGUGAUGCGAUGUGAUGCGAUGCGCCUGGUUGGGAGAAGAGGAAGUGGGUCCACAGCGUGAUUAUAUCCACG